UGCACUACAUAAUAUCCCUAAGGUUCUAUCUAACCCAUGGCCCCACUUCUACCUGUUCAGUGUGUGACACAGUUUAUUUAUUCUCUAUAUGCAGUGAUUAACAUGUAUACCUUGAAAGACUAGUUUUAUAGACAAACUCUUUGAGUAGCAAUUCUUUUUUUUUCUGGUAUGGAAAGGUCGGCCAAGCUGUUUUGAAUAAUUGUGAUCUCAUUUGGUUGCUGCCUAUGACGUUUCUGACUUGAUGAAAUCAUCGUGUUGCCAUUUGAAAACAGGGGAAUAUGGAAAACAUUGCCAUUGAUAGACAAACCCAUUUGGAUUCUAUGCUACACAUCAUCCAUGACAAUGGAAAACAGAUAUUUCACCUUUGACCUACCUGUACUGAAUGUAUGCUUGGCCACAAAGUACCUUAGGCAUUAUCCUUGAAUCAUUUGCUAACUAUGCAUCUACAGAAUGGGACUAAAUAGGAAAAAAAAACACUUGAUGAAACAGUAAGUGCUCUCGAUUGGUUAUUUUCUACAAUCAAAUUUUCACCCACAAUCAUUCCUCUCAAGACAUCUGCAUUAACAUCAGAUAACUUUAAAGAAUUGUGGACAGAAAACUAAGGAAUUGAUUUCAGAAAGGCCUGGAGAGAC